rnacentral:tRNA from 1 species
UAGAAAGAAAGUUUUUCCUUUUUCUUGCUCUCUUGUCUUUUCAUCUACUAUUUCCUUCGUGUAAUACAGGGUCGUCAGAUACAUAGAUACAAUUCUAUUAC